rnacentral:ncRNA from 1 species
UAAAGGUUUGGUCCUAGCCUUAUUAUUAGUUCUCCCCUAACUUAUACAUGCAAGUAUCAGCACUCCAGUGAGUAACGUUUCUUUCACCUUCACUAGGAUUAAGAAAUUAGUAUCAGGCACGACUACUGCCCACGACACCAAGUUUUACCACACCCCCACGGGUACUCAGCAGUGAUAAAUAUUGUUAAUAAGCGACAGCUUGAUUCAGUUAAAGAGAAGAGAGCCGGCCAAUCUGGUGCCAGCCGCCGCGGCUACACCAGGGGCUCAAAUUAAUAAUCAUCGGCGUUAAGCGUGAUUAAAGUUUUAACAAACUAGGGUCAAAUUAAUGUUUAGUAGUGAUAAGCUUGCCAUUAAGAAAAACAUGAACGAAAGUCACCCUACUUAUUUACUUGAAGACACGACAGCUAAGAACACAAACUGGGAUUAGAUACCCCACUAUGCUUAGCCGUAAACAAUCAACUCACAACAACCACGCCAGGGGACUACAAGCCAUGCUUAAAACCCAAAGGACUUGACGGUGUCCCAUCCUACUAGAGGAGCCUGUUCUAUAAUCGAUAAUCCCCGCUAUACCUCACCACUCCUAGCCUACCAGUCUGUAUACCUCCGUCGAAAGCCUACCAUAUGAGUGUUCUUAGUAGGCACAAUGAUGUCCAUCAACACGUCAGGUCAAGGUGCAGCUCACGUAGUGGAAAGCAAUGGGCUACAAUUUCUAAAUUAGAACAAACGAAAAACUAUUUGAAACAAUAGUUUGAAGGUGGAUUUAUUAGUAAAAAGAAAAUAGAGAGUUCUUUUUAACCCGGCCCUGGGACGUGUACAAACCGCCCGUCACCCUCUUCAAAUUACUUAUUUUUAGUUUAUAACCACACCACCUUAUCCUUAGAAGAGGUAAGUCGUAACAUGGUAAGUGUACUGGAAAGUGCACUUGGUCUAUU